GGUCGAAAGGGGAAAUUCAUUCGCGUUUCGGCUGUCGGAGUGGGACGUUUGCGUGACGGAUGGGGGAGCGUGCUCACGUGCGUGCCUUCCGUCUGCGCCAUUCGUUCUUCGAACCGACGUCGAACGCGUGCACUUUUCCCCUAGUAGGACGUCGCGAUCCGUUGGGUGUCUGUCUAAGACUCGGGGUGGAGCCCGCGAGACAACACGUCUCGUGGACCCCCGAAUUUCCGACAGGCUCGCUCGACGGUAAGCUAGAGGCGCGGGGCCGCUAUUUUCAUUAGAAUUAGCGUUCGGCCCGUAGCAAGCGCGUUCUGUGUUUGACGGCGAUCGGACCUAGUGCCGAUUCUGUCCCAGAACGACUGUUGGUUACGGUGUUACAUAUAAUCUCGAACAGACCCCG
rnacentral:rRNA from 1 species